UAGAAUUAGAUGAAAGACAGAGAUCUGCCUCUGGUGUUUGAUGUGAGAUGAUGGCUUUUCCACCAAUGCUAAGACAUAAUUUGUGCAAUUACUGAGUGCUGUGUGUGUGUGUGUGUGUGUGUGUGUGUGUGUGUGCAUGCAUGCAUGCAUGUGUGAACUUGCCCCAAAACAGGGCAUAAUCUGA